UACGUAGGGUGCAAGCGUUGUCCGGAAUUAUUGGGCGUAAAGAGCUCGUAGGCGGUUUGUCGCGUCUGCUGUGAAAUCUUAGGGCUUAACCCUGAGCUUGCAGUGGGUACGGGCAGACUAGAGUGCGGUAGGGGAGACUGGAAUUCCUGGUGUAGCGGUGAAAUGCGCAGAUAUCAGGAGGAACACCGGUGGCGAAGGCGGGUCUCUGGACAGUUCCUGACGCUGAGGCACGAAGGCCAGGGGAGCAAACGGG
rnacentral:rRNA from 1 species